rnacentral:rRNA from 13 species
UGAGGAAUAUUGGACAAUGGGUGAGAGCCUGAUCCAGCCAUCCCGCGUGAAGGACGACGGCCCUAUGGGUUGUAAACUUCUUUUGUACAGGGAUAAACCUUUCCACGUGUGGAAAGCUGAAGGUACUGUACGAAUAAGCACCGGCUAACUCCGUG